UACGAAGGGGGCUAGCGUUGUUCGGAAUCACCGGGCGUAAAGCGCACGUAGGCGGAUGUGCCAGUCAGGGGUGAAAUCCCGGAGCUCAACUUCGGAACUGCCUCUGAUACAGCACGUCUUGAGUCCGGAAGAGGUGGGUGGAAUUCCUAGUGUAGAGGUGAAAUUCGUAGAUAUUAGGAAGAACACCGGUGGCGAAGGCGGCCCACUGGUCCGGUACUGACGCUGAGGUGCGAAAGCGUGGGGAGCAAACAGG
rnacentral:rRNA from 1 species